GGCACUCUAAAUUUUACUACAAUUGUUUUAUGUUAUUAUUUAAUACCUCACAUGUAACUUUAAGAUAACAAACACUUUUGAUCGAACAGUCAGGGAUAUCAGUAAUGUUCUCCGCUCCUCAAAGGACAUCUUUAAGAAAUUGUUAAAGUGGGUCACCGCAUUGGAAAAUGAGGUCUUCAACCCCACCAAAUUUGUCCAGAAUGUUAGACUAAGAGAGAAUGGAGAACCACCAUAGCAUAGUCAAUUCACUGACGAGAGUACCCAGAGAAUGCUCGAGAUCAAAUUUGCAAAGCUGAAUGCCUGCUUGAAGCGAAAGAUGAGUUUGGUCUCUAAAUUAACCUAGAUAACCGUCAAGCUUACAUGUUCAAAAUUAGACAGGGUAGUAUUGAAAAGCUAGGACUUCGUUAAGAGAUUUUAGAAGUCAAGAUGAUUAUUGCCAAGGGUGUCGGAGAACGAGAUGGACGAAGUCUGUACGAGAAGGUUAAACCCCUCGGCUCACCCGUUCCAUCCCAUUUGAAAGAAAGUUUGAUGGGAAACAAGGCCAUAAUAUGGGAUAAAAUGCUAUCCCCGUGGACUCAUGGCCUCGAAGGUUUGAGAUUAUUAUGAGGGCACUAUAAGGAUGGUAAAAGUUUGGGAGAAAGGUUCGACCGCG
rnacentral:lncRNA from 1 species